AAAGCUCCCCCCCUCAAUGGUUCCCUGCUGGCUCUUCCUCAUCCUCCUGCCCGCCAUGGGAUGUGCUGUCCACCAGUCCCUGUACGCCGUGGUCCGGGAGCGAGAACCGGUGAAGCUGACCUGCUCCCAGGAGAAGACGCAGAUGGAGUACAUGUACUGGUACAAGCAGGCAACAGGGGAGCCUGCAGGUCUGCAGAUGGUGGCAUUCUCCAUUGACGAGAACAGCGUGGAUAUGGAGAAGGAUUUCCAGGGUCACUUCAAAAGCAACAGGAACCAGAGCUCUCAACUGUCUCUGUCCGCUGACAGUGCCUGGCUGAAUGACUCAGGCACCUAUUAUUGUGCUAAGCAAAAUCUGGGAACUGACCUUGCCUCAAGCACCCAAUACUUUGGUGAAGGGACACGGCUGACCGUCUUGGAGGAUGGGCUCAAUAUCACAGAGCCCGAAGUGGCCAUCUUUGCCCCAUCACAGAAGGAGAUCAAAGAGAAGAAAAAGGCUACACUGGUGUGUGUGGCCACAGGCUUCUACCCCGACCACAUCAAGGUGACCUGGAUAGUCAAUGGUGGUGAGAGGACAGAGGGUGUGGGGACAGAUGAGCAUGCCACCCGGGAAAACCAAACAAAGAUGUACUCCCUGACCAGCCGCCUGAGGAUCCCCAGCCAGGAGUGGUUCAACCCCAAGAACAAUUUCCAGUGUCUUGUCAGCUUCUAUGGCAAAGAUUCAACACCAAAAAUAUAUCCUAAAGCCAUUCAAGGUGUAGCAGGUUGCAGUGUCACUGAAGAGUUGUACCAGAGAAGUUCCAGAACUGGGUAUUUUGUGUACCUGAUGCUUUUUUGCAAGAGUAUCUUGUAUGGGUUGUUUGUGAUGGGGCUUAUACUACGGAGCAAGAAGAUGCACUAGAAGCUCACUUUCAUAAAGAAGCAGGCCAGAGCCUUCGUACAGGGCUAUAUAAUGGGGAAGAUGCACGUACACCAGCCCCACAAGUCCUGUUUGUUUCAGGAACCAGCACAGUGCUUUGGCUUUGGUUCAGAUGAAUGCUA